ACAUGCGUGUGCGCAUACAAAAAGUGACACACACACGCACGCACGCACACACACACGCACACAAGAAAAACUGAAAAAUAAAAAUAAUAGAAGAGACAUAGAAAACACAUUCAGACUUUAUAUGUUGACACGAUAGAGAAAUUCAUAAAAAUAUCUUCAAAUUCAAACUAAAACAAGCUUGCCGGAUUUAUCUUAAUUAUUCUUCACUAGCAUGCUCCAUUAAUGCUCUCAGCAGCCGCGUCACCCAACCAGAUGGAAACGCGCGGACGGACGGUCGGCCCGACCCUUUUUCCUCGCACGGUCGCGCCAGAUGGGUGAGAAGCCCACUUCGUUAUCCAUUUCUCUUCCACACCCUGACGGCAACCACCACUUCCCAACUCACGCAACCACCACUCUCGAUUCAACCCGACCAGAUCGCCGACGAGGGUUUGUGCGGCGGCCUGCCUGUGAAUCUCGGCGGCAUGGCGAUAGAUCGAAAAGCGGUGGCCCUCGAGGAUGCGGGGCGCGGAAGGGGGAGGAGCAGAGCCGUCGCAGUGCUGUUCGAGGAGGCUGGGCGUGGAGGAAGAAAGCAUCUGCGGCGCUGACGCCGACGCUACCGCGCUUCACGGACGUCAACCAGGAGGUGGACGAGGCCCCGCGGCUCGCAGCCGAGCUGUUCGCCGACGGGGACGCCGUCUUCUUCGUGCGGCGCCGAUGGUGAUCUACUCGCCGGGAUUCACCCCGAGCCCAAGCUGCUCGUCGGCGGGGACGCCGUCUUCCUCGUGCGGCGCCGAUGGGGAACUACUUGCUGGGAAGUAUUCCGCCGCCUCCCAAUAGCCGCCGAGCUUUGUUCAUGCGUAUGUGCCGGAGGCCCUCUGGAGACCGCUCCUCUGCUUCGUGCUCCUCCGGCACCCGAUGCCAUGGAACUGAACUCAAGGUCUCAUUCCCUUACUACCCAUGUGUUUUUUUCCUCCCUCGUAAUACGUGUGUUGUGUGUUCAUGCAUACGGGAGCUGAGCCAUGAUUUUUGUUGGAUCAAUCAUCUGAGUACAGCUUUCAACCUGUAAAUUUUCCUUUUGGCUUUAGAAUUGGUGUGGAUAAUUUGUAGUUGCCAUGGGCAUUUUCCAUUGAUGGCAAGUUUACAUGUUUGAUAUGCGCCCCCACUGUAUUUGUGCCAUGUUGUUUGCUUAGGGAGAACAAUUUUUGCCAUGGCACAUUCAUACAGUUUGCCAUCUUUGCAAAGAAGAGCUGUUCUGGUCAACCAUCUUACAGUUUUCAGAGGUGUCAUGGCAAUUUUCAACCCACAUUUACCAUGGUAAAUUCCAAUCUGUAGGUUUGGUUUAGCACAGGUACAAUCUUUAGCUGCGCUGGACCAAUCCCGGUACGCACUGACGGCAGAUGGAUUUGUAACACUUUUUGCCAAUGCAAAAUUUGCAAGUAACAUGGCAACUUAUAGUAAUUUUUAUCUAAAAAACAUGUGUGAAUUUUCCAUGGCAAAAAAAUAUUCAUCUAAAAGAAAGAAAUUUGCCAUGGGCCGUAUAGUGAAUUUGCCAUGGCAAAAUUCCAAAAUAAUAUGGUAAAUUUUAGUAUUUUUUAUCAAAAAAGUGCGUGAAUUUGCCAUGGCAAAAUUAUUUGUCUAGAAGAAAGAAAUUUGUCAUGGCAACAUUUUAAUGACUUUUUGCCUUCAUAAAAAAUUGUUUUUUGCCAUGGCAAGUGUUGUUUUUUUGGUGACAAAUCCAUUUGUUUGCCAUGACAAUUUUACCUUUUUGACAUGGUAAAUUUACCUAUAUUGCCACGGCAAUAUAGGUCCUUCAAAUGAAAAAUAAAGAUGGCAAAUUUUUGUUUUAUUUUGGCAUGGCAAUUUUUGCUAUAUUGGCAUGGCAAAUUUAUCUUUAACGCCAUGGUAAUUUCUUUUUAACCUCAUUUUUUCUGUGAAAAAUUUACUUUCUAUAUUGCCAUGACAACUUUUACCUUUUUGACAUGGCAAGUUUACCUAUAUUGCCACAGCAAUAUAGGUCCUUCAAAUGGAAAAAAUAAAGGAUGUCAAUUUUUUCUUUCAAUUUGCCAUGGCAAUUUUUCCUAUAUUGACAUGGAAAAUUUAUCUAUAACACCAUGGCAAUUUGUGUUUUAACCUCUUUCUUUUCUCUGUGAAAAUUUACUUUUCAUUUUGCCAUGGCAUUUUUUACCUUUUUUAACAUGGCAAGUUUACCUAUAUUGCCACGACAAGUCUUAACCAUUACAUACAUGUCAAUAUAAUCGCUAUGUCAAUUUUUUUCAUGCCAAAUUAACUUGAUGGUACUAUGGCAAUUUACUCUAAUUUUCUUGAAAUUUUACUUUACAUAUGAUCCAUGGCAAUUUUCACUUUUUUCAUCUUUCAUGGGGACUGCGGUAAAUUACUUUAAGAAACAUGGCUAUUACUACCCAAAAAAUAUAUGGUACACUUUUUGUGUGUGUUAUACAUGAUGAUUUUUUUAUACACAUUCUUUUUGUGUCUUCAUGCAUAUAUUAAAAGUGGCUAGGGAACGAUGGAGCCACGGUGGCUGAGAACGAGAGUAUGACGACAGUGCUAAUUCCUCUAUGCCUCUCCAUGUUGUGUUGUGGCUCUCCAAAACGGGGGAGAGGCUCGGAGUUGUGGCCAAGCAAUGAAUUGGUUCAGACGUCUAUAGCUUGAACUCUUUUUGUGUGUGUGUGUGGGAGAUCUUGAACUACGAUGUGUGCACAUUUAGUUUGUACUCAUGCCCUAUGAGCUUGUACGAAUUAACCAAAAAAACUCUUUAGCAAAUAACAGAACUGAAUAGAGCUAUAGUCGUAGCAAGUUGUUGUGCAAAGAUUGAUUUUAUAGUGCAAUCUCUGGACAGUGUUAGAUAAGUAUGUUUCUAUCUGGUGACUUGGUUAGAAUUAUGUUUACUCAUGAUUAUUUUGCAUAUACCAAGGUAGUUGAGCCUUCAAGCUCUAUUCCACCGGGCCCUCAUAAUCUAACCUCUCCCUCGUUCAUUUCAUCGUGUUUUUCAGCUUUGCAUCGCACUUCUUUGACAAAUUGGAGAGCAGAAGUCUUGCCAAUUACCAUUGCCUUAGCUUGCUUGCCAUAAGAACCUCUCAUAGGAAAAAUAGGUGGAUGCCAUACUUAUUUGUAGUACUGCUCAUGAUACAACGUUGUUCACCUCAUCAUCAUUUUUUUCUUAGAAGAGCUCACCGUUGUGUUUUUCCCAAUAAAAUGCAUCUUGGGCACCAAUA